UUGGAGGGCAAGUCUGGUGCCAGCAGCCGCGGUAAUUCCAGCUCCAAUAGCGUAUAUUAAAGUUGUUGCAGUUAAAAAGCUCGUAGUUGAAUUUCGGGGUUCUACCGUUGGUCAGGCUUUGUCUGUACUGGCGUGUAGAAUUUCUACCUUCUGGGGAACCAUCAUGUUAUUAAUUUAGUGUGAUGAGAAACCAGGACCUUUACCUUGAAAAAAUUAGAGUGUUCAAAGCAGGCUUAUGUCUGAAUACAUUAGCAUGGAAUAAUAGAAUAGGACGGUGGUCCUGUUUUGUUGGUUUCUGAAUCACCGUAAUGAUUAAUAGGGAUAGUUGGGGGCAUUAGUAUUCAAUUGUCAGAGGUGAAAUUCUUGGAUUUAUUGAAGACUAACUUCUGCGAAAGCAUUUGCCAAGGAUGUUUUCACUAAUCAAGAACGAAAGUUAGGGGAUCGAAGACGAUCAGAUACCGUCGUAGUCUUAACCAUAAACUAUGCCGACUAGGGAUCGGACGAUGUUAACUUUUCUUGACUCGUUCGGCGCCUUACGGGAAAC
rnacentral:rRNA from 1 species